UGCUUAAUUGCGUUUCAUAACGAUUUAAAACACUGUGUUUUAACGUUUGCUGUUCACCUGACUACGGUCAUGGUUUGAACGCACGUAGCAUGGUUAAAAACAAUCGGAAAGCAACGAACGUGACCGCAACCUCUUGUUGCCUUUAUUUUUAAAGCAUAUUCUCUGAUUAUUAUCUUCGGGUAGUAGUUACGCUGAUUAUGUUGAAAAAGGCUUUAAAACUAGAGGGACCGCUGUUCUAUUUUCUUUAAACCAGAGGAAGAUUGCGGCAAUAACAGGUCUGUGAUGCCCUCAGAUGUUCCGGGCUGCACACGUGCUACAAUGAUUGUUGCAGUGAGCAUCUAUUUUCAAACGCUAUCGUUGUGGAUUUUUGUAGUUGUAAUUUGGUUUCGGCUGGGUUAUAAUUGCAAUUUAUUCGCGUAACGAUUUAGCUAAACCUUCUUCGAAAGCAAGUAGGUAAUCAAUUGGAAGUAACGAUUUCCUUUUUUUGGAAAGUACAACUUAUUGGCUCAAUACGCUAUGCGAGUUCAUUUUYUUCGGAAGGUGUUCUUUUGUYGUAGUUGUUUGGGUAUCUGUACUAAAACACUUUAUUUCAAGGUGGGGACAGACCAUUGUUAAUUGUUGGUCUCGUUUUAACUAGGAAUGCCUUGUACGGGUUGGUUCAUCAAACCACCCGGAAUACGUCCCUGCCCUUUGUACACACCGCCCGUCGCUCUUACCGAUGGACUUCUYUGUGAGGUUGAGGGACUGGGAUUUCGAUCCUACGGAAACUUAAUCGAACAGGGUGGUCUAAAGGAAAGAGAAGUCGAACAAGGC
rnacentral:rRNA from 1 species